UACGUAGGGGGCAAGCGUUGUCCGGAAUCAUUGGGCGUAAAGCGCGCGUAGGCGGCCCUGUAAGUCCGCUGUGAAAGUCAAAGGCUCAACCUUUGAAAGCCGGUGGAUACUGCAGGGCUAGAGUCCGGAAGAGGCGAGUGGAAUUCCUGGUGUAGCGGUGAAAUGCGUAGAGCUCGGGAAGAACAUCGGUGGCGAAAGCGCUCUGCUGGACUGCAACUGACACUCAGGGACGAAAGCUAGGGGAGCGAAUGGG
rnacentral:rRNA from 1 species